rnacentral:rRNA from 1 species
UACGGAGGGUGCAAGCGUUAUCCGGAUUCACUGGGUUUAAAGGGUGCGUAGGUGGGCAAGUAAGUCAGUGGUGAAAUCUCCGGGCUUAACCCGGAAACUGCCAUUGAUACUAUUUGUCUUGAAUACUGUGGAGGUCAGCGGAAUAUGUCAUGUAGCGGUGAAAUGCUUAGAUAUGACACAGAACACCGAUUGCGAAGGCAGCUAACUAAGUCAAUACUGACGCUGAUGCACGAAAGCGUGGGGAGCAAACAGG